AUUGAACGCUGGCGGCAUGCCUUACACAUGCAAGUCGAACGGCAGCACGGGUGCUUGCACCUGGUGGCGAGUGGCGAACGGGUGAGUAAUACAUCGGAACAUGUCCUGUAGUGGGGGAUAGCCCGGCGAAAGCCGGAUUAAUACCGCAUACGAUCCACGGAUGAAAGCGGGGGACCUUCGGGCCUCGCGCUAUAGGGUUGGCCGAUGGCUGAUCAGCUAGUUGGUGGGGUAAAGGCCUACCAAGGCGACGAUCAGUAGCUGGUCUGAGAGGACGACCAGCCACACUGGGACUGAGACACGGCCCAGACUCCUACGGGAGGCAGCAGUGGGGAAUUUUGGACAAUGGGCGAAAGCCUGAUCCAGCAAUGCCGCGUGUGUGAAGAAGGCCUUCGGGUUGUAAAGCACUUUUGUCCGGAAAGAAAUCCUUGGCUCUAAUACAGUCGGGGGAUGACGGUACCGGAAGAAUAAGCACCGGCUAACUACGUG
rnacentral:rRNA from 1 species